rnacentral:misc_RNA from 1 species
GAAAUGCGAUAAGUAAUGUGAAUUGCAGAAUUCAGUGAAUCAUCGAAUCUUUGAACGCACCUUGCGCUCCUUGGUAUUCCUUGGAGCAUGCCUGUUUGAGUAUCAUGAAAUCUUCAAAGUAAAUCUUUUGUUAACUCAAUUGGUUUCUACUUUGGUAUUGGAGGUCUUUGCAGCUUCACACCUGCUCCUCUUUGUUCAUUAGCUGGAUCUCAGUGUUAUGCUUGGUUCCACUCGGCGUGAUAAGUUAUCUAUCGCUGAGGACACUGUAAAAGGUGGCCAAGGAAAAUGCAAAUGAACCGCUUCUAAUAGUCCAUUGACUUGGACAAUACUUUUAUGAUCUGAUCUCAAAUCAGGUAGGACUACCCGCUGAACUUAAGC